CCAGCAGGUGACCUGUUAAUAUUGUCGCUGUAGUUAAAAUAUUAAAGGAAAAUACUGAUUUAAUGACUCUCCUU
rnacentral:snoRNA from 1 species